rnacentral:rRNA from 1 species
AGAAGUAAAAGUCGUAACAAGGUUUCCGUAGGUGAACCUGCGGAAGGAUCAUUAUCGAACUUCGAGGGCGAGGCGGACUGUCGCUGGCUUCGGCCGUGCACGUCCACCUUUCUCUUACUCUCACACCUGUGCACACAUYGUAGGUCCUCGAAAGAGGAUCUAUGUUUCGAUCGUCACACACAUCGUAUGUCUAGAAUGUAUUACGAUCGUCGUUCGACCUCGCGGUCGUGGGGCGGUCUAAAACAAAUACAACUUUCAGCAACGGAUCUCUUGGCUCUCGCAUCGAUGAAGAACGCAGCGAAUUGCGAUAAGUAAUGUGAAUUGCAGAUUUUCAGUGAAUCAUCGAAUCUUUGAACGCACCUUGCGCUCCUUGGUAUUCCGAGGAGCAUGCCUGUUUGAGUGUCAUGUAAUUCUCAACCAUGUCUUGAUUGAUUUCGGGGCAUGGCUUGGAAGUGGGGGUUGCUGGCGGCGAAGGCUGUCGGCUCUCCUGAAAUGCAUUAGCGACGGACAGCAAGUCUGACGUGCACGGCCUCGACGUGAUAAUGAUCAUCGUGGCUGGAGCGUCGGACGAGCGCGAUACGUCCCUUUGCUUCCAAUCCUUUGACUUGGGAAUAGGACUUUCGAGCGAAGCUUUAGUUACUAGUCGGUCGUGAGACCGACGAACGCAGGGCGGGAUCGAAGGUCGGAAGGCCCUCGUCUUUCUUGAYGACUUGACCUCAAAUCAGGUAGGACUACCCGCUGAACUUAAGCAUAUCAAUAAGCGGAGGAAAAGAAACUAACAAGGAUUCCCCUAGUAACUGCGAGUGAAGCGGGAUGAGCUCAAAUUUUGAAUCUGGCGGUCUUUGGCUGUCCGAGUUGUAAUCUAGAGAAGCGUCUUCCG